UACGUAGGGGGCAAGCGUUGUCCGGAUUUAUUGGGCGUAAAGAGCGUGUAGGCGGCUUUGCAGGUCCGCUGUGAAAGCUCGAGGCUCAACCUCGAGCUGUCGGUGGAAACCGUAAAGCUAGAGUCCGGAAGAGGAGAGUGGAAUUCCCGGUGUAGCGGUGAAAUGCGCAGAUAUCGGGAAGAACACCCGUGGCGAAGGCGGCUCUCUGGGACGGUACUGACGCUGAGACGCGAAAGCGUGGGGAGCGAACAGG
rnacentral:rRNA from 1 species